rnacentral:rRNA from 1 species
UGGGGAAUUUUGGACAAUGGGCGAAAGCCUGAUCCAGCAAUGCCGCGUGUGUGAAGAAGGCCUUCGGGUUGUAAAGCACUUUUUGUCCGGAAAGAAAUCCUUGGCUCUAAUACAGUCGGGGGAUGACGGUACCGGAAGAAUAAGCACCGGCUAACUACGUGCCAGCAGCCGCGGUAAUACGUAGGGUGCAAGCGUUAAUCGGAAUUACUGGGCGUAAAGCGUGCGCAGGCGGUUUGCUAAGACCGAUGUGAAUCCCCGGGCAUCCAACCUGGGAACUGCAUUGGUGACUGGCAGGCUAGAGUAUGGCAGGAGGGGGGUAGAAUUCCACGUGUAGCAAGUGAAAUGCGUAGAGAUGUGGAGGAAUACC